AUGAACGCUGGCGGCGUGCCUAAUACAUGCAAGUCGCGCGAACAGACGAGGAGCUUGCUCCUCUGACGUUAGCGGCGGACGGGGGAGUAACACGUGGAUAACCUACCUAUAAGACUGGGAUAACUUCGGGAAACCGGAGCUAAUACCGGAUAAUAUAUUGAACCGCAUGGUUCAAUAGUGAAAGACGGUUUUGCUGUCACUUAUAGAUGGAUCCGCGCCGCAUUAGCUAGUUGGUAAGGUAACGGCUUACCAAGGCAACGAUGCGUAGCCGACCUGAGAGGGUGAUCGGCCACACUGGAACUGAGACACGGUCCAGACUCCUACGGGAGGCAGCAGUAGGGAAUCUUCCGCAAUGGGCGAAAGCCUGACGGAGCAACGCCGCGUGAGUGAUGAAGGUCUUCGGAUCGUAAAACUCUGUUAUUAGGGAAGAACAAAUGUGUAAGUAACUAUGCACGUCUUGACGGUACCUAAUCAGAAAGCCACGGCUAACUACGUG
rnacentral:rRNA from 1 species